rnacentral:lncRNA from 1 species
GACAAGACUUUCUUGAGCACAAGGUCACCUUCUCGGAACACACGAGGCUUGACCUUCUUAUCAAAUGCUUUCUUCACUCUCUGCUGAUAUAACUGACCAUGCCACAUGGCAGUUAAUCUCUUCUUUUCGAUCAGAUUCACUUAGUCGUAAUGACUCUGAAUCCAUUCAGCAUCAGUCAACUUGGGACUUUGAGGGUGCUAUAUUCCUUUUGUUUCUUUCUUUCUUUUUUCUUUCUUUUGAUUUGGAUUUCUUUUGAUUUCUUUUGACUUUUUUUUUUUGGUUUUGCACCCUCCUCUUCUUUUUUCUUCUUUUUUUUUUUUAAUGCCCUAGUUGGUUGUUCUGCUGAUUCUCGAGAUGCAGCUGAGUGAUCUUCUUUUCUUGCUCAAGCAGUUGGG